CUGGCCGUGGCGCAGUUUGGUAGCGCACCGCGUUUGGGACGCGGGGGUCGUGAGUUCAAAUCUCACCGGCCAGACCA
rnacentral:tRNA from 1 species